rnacentral:rRNA from 1 species
GGUUGACCUCGGAUCAGGUAGGGAUACCNA